AUUCCAUGAUGAGGAUAGGCUGAAAUAUAUUGUUGGAGCCUCUCCGAAGCUUCAGGAAUCGUCUUCCAUCCUGUCUGCUAGAAACUAGAAAUUUUACCUCUAAGGGC